GCGAGAAGACGGAGCCGGUACGGACGACCACGGUGGUGGGCGACAGUAGGCGUUGAUGAGCUCGUCCCGGAAGAGACCAGUGAGUUGCUGCUUCUGAAGAUAUGGGGAAAAGCAGCAGAUGAGAGCUUUGAGAUACUUGAUAGGUUCUGUUCUUCCUUUACCUGAAUAUACACCGCUCUAUCUAGGAUCUGGAUGGCACACCAGAAAACU